rnacentral:rRNA from 1 species
UAGCUGGUCUGAGAGGAUGAUCAGCCACACUGGAACUGAGACACGGUCCAGACUCCUACGGGAGGCAGCAGUGGGGAAUAUUGCACAAUGGAGGAAACUCUGAUGCAGCAACGCCGCGUGGAGGAUGACGCAUUUCGGUGUGUAAACUCCUUUUAUAUGGGAAGAUAAUGACGGUACCAUAUGAAUAAGCACCGGCUAACUCCGUGCCAGCAGCCGCGGUAAUACGGAGGGUGCAAGCGUUACUCGGAAUCACUGGGCGUAAAGCGCGCGCAGGCGGCCUUUUAAGUUGGAUGUGAAAGCCUACGGCUCAACCGUAGAACUGCAUCCAAAACUAUUGGGCUAGAGUGUGGGAGAGGAAGAUGGAAUUAGUUGUGUAGGGGUAAAAUCCGUAGAGAUAACUAGGAAUACCAAAAGCGAAGGCAAUCUUCUGGAACAUUACUGACGCUGAGGCGCGAAAGCGUGGGGAGCAAACAGGAUUAGAUACCCUGGUAGUCCACGCCCUAAACGAUGAAUGUUAGUCGUCGGGUAGCUAGUCUAUUCGGUGAUGCAGCUAACGCAUUAAACAUUCCGCCUGGGGAGUACGGUCGCAAGAUUAAAACUCAAAGGAAUAGACGGGGACCCGCACAAGUGGUGGAGCAUGUGGUUUAAUUCGAAAUACGCGAAGAACCUUACCUAGCCUUGACAUAUAUUAGAACACCCUAGAGAUAGAGUGGUGCCUUCGGGAGCUUUUAUACAGGUGCUGCACGGCUGUCGUCAGCUCGUGUCGUGAGAUGUUGGGUUAAGUCCCGCAACGAGCGCAACCCUCGUCACUAGUUACUAACGGUUCGGCCGAGGACUCUAGUGAGACUGCCUUCGUAAGGAGGAGGAAGGUGAGGACGACGUCAAGUCAUCAUGGCCCUUACGGCUAGGGCAACACACGUGCUACAAUGGCCAGGACAAUGAGACGCGAUACCGCGAGGUGGAGCAAAUCUAUAAACCUGGUCUCAGUUCGGAUUGUAGUCUGCAACUCGACUACAUGAAGCUGGAAUCACUAGUAAUCGUAGAUCAGCUAUGCUACGGUGAAUACGUUCCCGGGUCUUGUACUCACCGCCCGUCACACCAUGGGAGUUGAUUUCACCCGAAGCGGGGAAGCUAAACUGGCUACCCUCCACGGUGGAAUCAGCGACUGGGGUGAAGUCGUAACAAGGUAACCGUAGGAGAACCUGCGGUUG